ensembl:rRNA 5S_rRNA 5S ribosomal RNA
GUCUACAGCCAUACCACCCUGAACGUGUGAGAUCUCCUCUGAUCUCGGAAGCCAAGCAGGGUAGGACCUUGUUCGUAUUUGGAUGGAGACUGCCUGGGAAUACCGGGUGCUGCAGACU